ACAUGCCUACAGCAUAGCGUUAAUUCAUUGCAUCCCAUUAGAAAUUCAUAGUUAAGUGCACUCAGGCUAGAGUAGUACUGGGAUGGGUGACCGCCCGGGAAGUCCUAGUAUUUUACAUGCA
rnacentral:rRNA from 1 species